CGCCGGCGGCCGGGGGCGGGGCCGUUGCUCAGAGGAAAGGAUUGGUAUCGGUCAGAGGGGUCUGGUGGAGCGGUCCAGCGGAGCCCGAGGCUCUCUGUCCCAACGACGAUGGGCUCCAGCUCCAGCACCAUUGGCCACAGGAAGGUGUCUGCCAGCACACUCAUCCCUUCCCCUCCCUGAGGUGACAGCAGGCCCAUGUGACAAACAGGUACUGCCAACCCACCACGCACACACUACCUCUUCCAGGCCCAGUCAGAGAGGACCCCACUCCCAAGAGGCGCGGCAGCUCUGAGGGGUACCUGGCCAAGGUCCUGCAGCAAGUUGAACCCAGGUCCCCUGAUUCAAGUUCCUGGACUCUGCCAGCUGCACCCCAUCCAGCUCAGGGUCAAGUGCGGUGGGAGGGCAAGAGGUUGUACUCAGUCAAGGUCACAGCUCUCCAAGCCCUCAGCACAUUGUUAAGGAAGGUCGUUCUGAGUGCCCUCAGAUCAGGGAAGUGCCCCUCCUCUCGGGGAGGAGAGUGGAGCAUGCAGCUGCCCCAAUUUUCAAGAGCAGUGCCCUUGAGCUGGGGUUUCAAGAGGAUUGCUACUAAGCAGUAGUACUAAGCAGUACUGUGUGCUGCCUGUCUGAGCACAGGGUCGAGGGCACUCCUGGGCUUGGUCUCAUUUAAUCCUCACAUUGGACAAUGGAGACAGAUUAAUUUUUCCCUACUUUAAAGAUGAGGAAACUGAUGUUCAGAAAGCUGGUUGGCAGAGAUCUUAUGGCUUGGAAGGGGCAGAAUAAGAACUGAGCCUAUGCUUCUGCCUCCACCCCUGUACCAGGCAGGAGUUAACAAUAACAAACCUAUAAUAAAUAACAUCAUUGUUCACACUGACUUGUUGGGCACCUACUAUGUGCGGGCGUGUUACCCUCUUGAUCUCACAGAAUCUUCAGACACACCUCCAAGUGGGGGAUUCUUAUCUACAGCUGGGGGUCACAGAGCCAGAGCCAGAACUCAGGCUGCCUCCCUGUCCCCAGCCAUGCCCUG